UACGUAGGGUGCGAGCGUUACUCGGAAUUACUGGGCGUAAAGCGUGCGCAGGCGGUUGUGUAAGACAGAUGUGAAAUCCCCGGGCUCAACCUGGGAACUGCAUUUGUGACUGCACAGCUGGAGUGCGGCAGAGGGGGAUGGAAUUCCGCGUGUAGCAGUGAAAUGCGUAGAUAUGCGGAGGAACACCGAUGGCGAAGGCAAUCCCCUGGGCCUGCACUGACGCUCAUGCACGAAAGCGUGGGGAGCAAACAGG
rnacentral:rRNA from 1 species